CUACUUAACGCGAAGAAACCUUACCUACCCUUGACAUGUACGGAAUUCCGCUGAGAGGUGGAAGUGCCCGAAAGGGAGCCGUAACACAGGUGCUGCAUGGCUGUCGUCAGCUCGUGUCGUGAGAUGUUGGGUUAAGUCCCGCAACGAGCGCAACCCUUGUCCCUAGUUGCUACGCAAGAGCACUCCAGGGAGACUGCCGGUGACAAACCGGAGGAAGGUGGGGAUGACGUCAAGUCCUCAUGGCCCUUAUGGGUAGGGCUUCACACGUCAUACAAUGGUCGGAACAGAGGGUUGCCAAGCCGCGAGGUGGAGCCAAUCCCAGAAAACCGAUCGUAGUCCGGAUCGCAGUCUGCAACUCGACUGCGUGAAGCUGGAAUCGCUAGUAAUCGCGGAUCAGCAUGCCGCGGGAAUAUUAACAA
rnacentral:rRNA from 1 species